UACAACUUCAUUCAAUUCGUCGCAGCAGCGUGUUACAUUAUUGGUGGAAUAUGCAACGUCGGGAACUCAUCUCUCAUCGAUGGCGUUACCGCAAUUAUCUGUGGAGGCGUUCACCUCGUACAUCUUAUUCACUCAAUUCUCAAGAACUGAGAACGAUUGGAGGCCUCCAUCAGCGCCAUGUGGCUUACACGUAUGGUUGUAUAUACUCUAGAAAAUGAGCAUAGCUUAUCCACUGAGGACCUGUGUUGUGACGAAAUAAAAUUGGUACCGGUAGCACACCAA